UACAGAGGUCCCAAGCGUUGUUCGGAUUCACUGGGCGUAAAGGGUGCGUAGGUGGCCAGGUAAGUUUGGUGUGAAAGCUCGGAGCUUAACUCCGAAAAGUCAUUGAAUACUAUCUGGCUGGAGGGUCGGAGGGGAGACUGGAAUUCUCGGUGUAGCAGUGAAAUGCGUAGAUAUCGAGAGGAACACCAGUGGCGAAGGCGGGUCUCUGGGCAACAACUGACGCUGAGGAGCGAAAGCGUGGGGAGCGAACAGG
rnacentral:rRNA from 1 species